CGUAACGCGUAUGCAAUCUACCUCUUACUGAGGGAUAGCCCAUGGAAACGUGGAUUAAUACCUCAUAGUAUUAUAGACUGGCCUCAGUUUAUGAUUAAAGGUUACGGUAAGAGAUGAGCAUGCGUCCUAUUAGCUAGAUGGUAAGGUAACGGCUUACCAUGGCUACGAUAGGUAGGGGUCCUGAGAGGGAGAUCCCCCACACUGGUACUGAGACACGGACCAGACUCCUACGGGAGGCAGCAGUGAGGAAUAUUGGACAAUGGGCGAGAGCCUGAUCCAGCCAUGCCGCGUGCAGGAAGACGGCCCUAUGGGUUGUAAACUGCUUUUACAGAGGAAGAACCCUCCUUACGUGUAAGGAGCUGACGGUACUCUAUGAAUAAGGAUCGGCUAACUCCGUGCCAGCAGCCGCGGUAAUACGGAGGAUCCAAGCGUUAUCCGGAAUCAUUGGGUUUAAAGGGUCCCGUAGGCGGGGUCUAUAAGUCAGUGGUGAAAGUCUGGUAG
rnacentral:rRNA from 1 species